rnacentral:rRNA from 1 species
GAUGAACGCUGGCGGCGUGCUUAAUACAUGCAAGUCGAGCGGACGGACGCGGAGCUUGCUUCUCUGAUGUUAGCGGAAGGCGGGUGAGUAACACGUGGAUAACCUCCCUAACAGUCGGGGAACACUUCGGGAAACCGUAGAUAAUACGGGAUAAUAUCUUGCUCCGCGUGGUUGAAAAGAGAAAGACGGUCUUGCUGUCACUUCUAGAUGGAUCCGCGCUGCAUUAGCUGGUUGGUAAGGUCAAGGCUUAUGAAGGCAACGAUGCCUGGCCGACCUGAGAGGGGGGUCGGCCACCCUGGAGCUGGGACACGCUCCAGACUCCUACGGUAGGCAGCAGUCUGGAAUGUUCCGCAGUGGGCGGAAGCCUUGCGGAGUAACGCCGCGCCUGUUGUGGAGGUCUUCGGAGCGGAAUGCCCGGUUAUGAGGGGUGAACAGAUGUGGAAGGAACCGAGCAGAGCUUGACGGUACCGAAUCAGAAAGCCCCGGCUAACUACGUG